AGCAGCCGCGGUAAUUCCAGCUCCAAUAGCGUAUAUUAAAGUUGUUGCAGUUAAAAAGCUCGUAGUUGAAUUUCGGGGUUAGUAGGUUGGUCAUGCCUCUGGUAUGUACUGGUCUCACUGAUUCCUCCUUCCUGAUGAGCCGUAAUGCCAUUAAUUUGGUGUUGCGGGGAAUUUGGACUGUUACUUUGAAAAAAUUAGAGUGUUUAAAGCAGGCUUACGCUUGAAUACAUUAGCAUGGAAUAAUGAAAUAGGACGUUUGAUUCUAUUUUGUUGGUUUCUAGGAUUGACGUAAUGAUUAAUAGGGAUAGUUGGGGGCAUUAGUAUUCAAUUGUCAAAGGUGAAAUUCUUGGAUUUAUUGAAGACUAACUACUGCGAAAGCAUUUGCCAAGGAUGUUUUCAUUAAUCAAGAACGAAAGUUAGGGGAUCGAAGACGAUCAGAUACCGUCGUAGUCUUAACCAUAAACUAUGCCGACUAGGGAUCGGAUGAUGUUAAUUUUUAAUGACUCAUUCGGCGCCUUAA
rnacentral:rRNA from 1 species